rnacentral:rRNA from 1 species
CAAUAGCGUAUACUAAUGUUGUUGCAGUUAAAAAGCUCGUAGUCGGAUUUCAGUAAUCUUAUACAAUUUCUUUAAUGAUUUUGUAUAAAUUUACUUUAUGACAGAAACGUUUAUAUCAUUUAUUUGAUAUAAUUUGGGACUGUCUCAUUUACUUUGAGAAAAUUAGAGUGUUCAAAGCAGGUCUCUGCCGGAAUAUUACUCUUGGAAUAAUAAUAUAGAACUUCAGUUUUAGUUUGUUGGUGAUCUAAGACCGGAGUAAUGAUCGAUAGGGACGGUUGGGGUCAUUCAUACUGCAAAGCGAGAGGUGAAAUUUUGGACCUUUGUAAGAUGAACAACUGCGAAAGCAUUUGACUAGGACAUUCCCGUUGAUCAAGAACGAAAGUUGGGGGAUCAAAGACGAUCAGAUACCAU